UGUAUCUUUAUGCUUGUCACAAAAAGUUCCGCAUUAAUAUUCUAUUGCAUACUGUGCAGGCUCAUGAAUUAAUAAUUAGCCACCUUGCACCGGAUACGUCAGAUGUGUUUGGAACCUCAGUAUGAAAUGAGAAGCAACCAAUCGGAAGACCAUUAAUUCUGGGCUUUGAACGUGUGUGUGAUGGUGGAGCGCUUGAAGGGUGGCAGACCUUCAAGAGCAACACUGUACACUUGCAUCGCAAACCCAGAGAGACUAAAAAAAAGAGAAAGAGAGAGAGAGAGAAAUCCAUAUCAUUCGAUAUCAACACAUCACAAUAUUCAUUUUAUAUCAUUAAUGAGGAAGGAAAUGCACUGCAUAUGUUUAUUGGACCUUGAUAAUGGAAUCACCACCUUCACAGCCACCUCCAUCAUCACCGUCACCUGGUUCCAAUCAUACCUGAUCCCAAUCGCAACCUCUGUCAAUCCUCCUGUGUUUCUCCCUUGUUGUCCUCCCAGUCUCCCUAUUUCUGGUAACCAGUGCCAUUCUCCACUGCCUGUCAAAGUCAUUGGACUGAUACUAUUAUCGUGAAUCCCAACUGCCAUUCUAUCCAUAUCCAAAUCCUUCAAUAAACUCUGUCAUCGCCGUAACCUCCUCUCUCUUUUUGCCUGAUUUGUGACAAUAUUACUGUCCUUAUUUCCUCAGUUAAACCAAACUUUUAUUUUGGUGGUUUGCCGUGAAGGACCUUAAGUUUCAGUGUUGUUUGAUAGCUUUUUUAGCAUAAAAUGUU